CUGUAUUUUUGUUAAAAAAAUUAUUAAAUAUCUAUAAAUAUCUAUUUGUGAACCCAAUUAUUAUUGUAUAUUAAUUUGAAAUUGCGACAGAAACCCAUAAAUUUGAAAUCCUGGAUCCGCCUCUGGAUGGAAGUGCCCAUUUAAUGCUGCCAAAAACCGUCUGCUGAGUACUGACUGGCACAUAAUCACUCAAUCUAUAAUCG
rnacentral:lncRNA from 1 species